GGCAGUGGGAGGGACCCAUCUGUGAGAUGAAGGCGAGGUCUGGUUCACAUGGUGGCACCAGGGAGAUGCUCCGGUGACACACAGUGCAAAGCUUGCCCCAGGGUAACCCCUUGUCCAUCCCUGGGCUUUGUCAAGAUGCAGCCAGAGGCUGGUCCACAAGAAGCAAUUGGUGGCUUCACGCAGCUCCCUGGGGAAAGCCCUCACUGCCGGAAUCACGUGCAGCCCCCAGUCACGGGUCUGUGGUGCGUCACGAUCAUGAGUCUGCGGCGAUGAGAGCUCCGUGAUUCACACAUGUCAAGGUUGAUGAGGAUAUUGAGGAGUCGCUUCCUCAGGGGGAUAAUAGAAAACAACGUCUCUAAAUAUUUCAUUUCUUUCAAGAGAUGUCACAUCAGC